GACUAGCAACACUUCUAUAAGAAUGGACAAAAGUAAGAGGGUGAAAUAUUUCAUGGGGGAAUUAAUUUUUGAAUGUAUUUUUGAAGCACUUUUCAUACUUUUUUCCCUCAUUUAGGAAGACUAAAGCUAUGUUUGAAUUGUCAGGGCAAAAGGUACUUUACCUCUGCCCUCUGAAGGUUCUAUAACUGAGUCUGCUGAAAUCAACUGAUAAUAGAUUAAUAGGAGAAAAGUUAUACACAUUAUUUAUUUCCUUUUAAUGUUAGUUGAUAUGUAAUGUACAGUCUUUUUGGUAAUAACCAUUCUAACUAGGGUGAGAGAUCUCAUUGUGGUUUGAAUUUGCAUUUCCCUGAUUAUUAGUGAUGUACAGCAUAUUUUGCCUGUUCAUGCCCUUUGUAGGGACAUGGAUGAAAUUGGAAAUCAUCAUUCUCAGUAAACUAUCGCAAGAACAGAAAACCAAACACCGCAUAUUCUCACUCAUAGGUGGGAAUUGAACAAUGAGAUCACAUGGACACAGGAAGGGGAAUAUCACACUCUGGGGACUGUGGUGGGGUGCGGGGAGCGGGGAGGGAUAGCGUUGGGAGAUAUACCUAAUGCUAGAUGACGAGUUAGUGGGU
rnacentral:lncRNA from 10 species